AUUAUUUGAUUAUAGAUUGAUAUAGAAUAUAUUAAAGUUGUUGGUUUACCAACUAUGACGAUAAACGAAUUUCGUAAUAACCAUUGCGGACGUGGGGGCAGUACCCACCACCUCCACCAAUAAUUUAUAUGGGGGUGAACUAGAUUCGACGAGUGUCUAAAGGCUAUUCUUUCGUUCGGAAUUGUUCCACCGUAACGGGCUAAUUUAUAAUUGCUAACGAAAGUUACGCACUUGCUGCCUAAUUAACUUGGUUAAUUAAGCAAACGGGGUUUGGGGCACCUGGCAACAGAACGCCCCUAAA
rnacentral:tmRNA from 1 species